rnacentral:tRNA from 1 species
CAGAGUAUAGCCAAAUAGUAAGGCACUUUACUUACACUAAACCUACCGUCCGUGCAAAUCAGACUACUCUGC